rfam:Salmo salar isolate Sally breed double haploid chromosome ssa06, whole genome shotgun sequence.
UCCCGUGUAGCUCAGUUGGUAGAGCAUGGAGCUUGCAAUGCCAGGGUUGUGGGUUCAAUUCCCACAGGGGAC